AUCUGAGAUAGUCCUGUCGGUAUUGCUUCAACUAGGUUAAGCCCGGUAAAACAAAGAUGACAGUUGAUGAAAGUUACUCUCGCUCGCGUUUGAACGCCUACUCCAACAACAUGCAUCAACUUUGAACUGGUUCAAAUGCGGUGAUAUCCAAUCAACUCUCAUCAACUCCCAUGCAACUCUUGUUCUCGUUUGCUCGGUGAAUGAGAGUUGAGGAACCUCUCAUGCAAACGUUUGCUUCUCCACUCUUAUCAACUCUUUUUCCGUUAUGUUUUUAGCUUGCUCGAAUGAACCCAUUGC